AUGUUUGAAAGAGGGAGGAGUGGGAAGCAGAGAUGGACCACCGAGGUCCAAGGACCCCCCAGGAGAGGGUGAGGUGCCCAGGGGACCCCCUGAAAGGAAGAGGUUCAGAGGCCAGAAGAUUUACGGAGGCCCUCGCUCUCGGGCCCCCACCGCGGACACCUCACUCACAUCCCAGCCCUGUUGACUGCUGCCAGGACGGAAACUCUGUCACAGCCGUCGCCAUGGGAGGCUAGCGAGGGGACCGAUAUCUCUUCCGAGCCAGACUCAGGAUGGCGGCGGCGGCGGCGGCGGCGGCGGCAGACGGGGGCCACCACGCGGGCCAAGGCAGCAGAGUUUGGGCUGGGCUCCCCGGACGGUGCCCCAGACCCCUCGUGCUGUGCUGGGUCGUGUGUGGGCAGCACACCGUCCCUGGAGGUGGUGGAGGAUUAGGCGGUGCCAUGGCGGGUGGGCCUCUGGAGAGAUGGGACUCAACCCUUCUUGUCCCUGAGAUGUUUCUGAUUCUCUCUCCCUCGGUGGUGGCUGCGUGGCUCAUGGCUGUCUCUGCACAUCCCCUGUGCCCAGCCUCCAGCAGCCGCAGCUCUGGGCUCCCUGAGAAGGAGGUGCCCCGAGGGCCCCGGGGCCUCAGCGAUAAGCCUAGCAUCACAGUAGUGGUGGCUUCUCAGUCUUGUCCGCCCACCGGGCCCCGCAUUUGGGACUCCACAGCUCGUGUCUCCUUGAGUUCUUGCCGCAGCCUUUAGAGAAAAGAGAAGCCAGAAAGGAAUGCCUCGGACUGGCCUUCGGAGAGACAGCCUGAGCCGGGCCCAGAGGGCGAACCGAGGAUGCUGACCGCCAGGUUGGCCUGGGCACAGGCGAAGAGGAGCCCUGUCUCCUUUGCUUUGACCCGGGUUGUGCCCUUCUCGGUGACCGGGUUGGGCGUGGGCCCCGUGUUUGGGGGAAGGGCGAGGAGAGCUGGCAGGGUCACUGAGGCCCGCCCACACGCAUGAUUACAGGGACCGGGAAGAGCGCUCUGGACUCAGAUGACAGGAGCGGUGGCUUGGCGCUUUCCUCUGUGGGAGAGGCGCCGGGGGCCCCCCCCUCACGGCGAGGGCUGGCUGUGUGGAUGCAGUGACACCCCUUGCCCGGCUGGCAGCCGGGGCUCCAGGGCCGGGGCCAGCGCAGUCUUCCUCCGGCGGGGGCCGCGCUGUGUAGGGCUGCCGUCUGGCCAGCUUGCCCCGGCUGGGUCCCCAGCCACCCCACCCCUCACCCCUGCCCUGGGGGACCUGCUGCUGCCCUGCAUGAUUCCCGAAGGGUCAAGGCGAGACCUGGGGGCUGAGGGCUUUGGUUCUGGUACACCACCCCUGAGGCUGACCCAGGCUUGCCACCUCCACCUGUGGAGGAGGGGACAGAGCCGCCUCCGGGAUGCCCCCCACACCCCUCCCCAUCCUCUUGCUGUCCCAUCCUCUUUCCUUUCCUGUUUAUUCUUUGUUCCUUCCACCUGCUGCCACCUGGUAGGUGAUUUAGACAUUCACAAGGCCGUGCCCUUCUCUUCACAGUUUAUCCACAUCUAGAACCUGGUAAGGAGCCGGCCCUCAGUCUCACUCAAGUCAGCGUUAGUGAAGGGCUUUGUGUGUGGCCCCCGGGCAGGGCUCCCUCACGGGGGCCCCUUCUCCUGACACAUCUCCCUCACAUUGUCAAAACCAGCCCUGUCUUCAGUACUUGCAGGUGUCCCCAAAGGGGCACUGAUAUCUGUUCUGGGGCAUUAAAUAAAAUAUGCCAUGAAGCUUCA